AUUGAACGCUGGCGGCAGGCCUAACACAUGCAAGUCGAGCGGAUGAAGGGAGCUUGCUCCUGGAUUCAGCGGCGGACGGGUGAGUAAUGCCUAGGAAUCUGCCUGGUAGUGGGGGAUAACGUCCGGAAACGGGCGCUAAUACCGCAUACGUCCUGAGGGUGAAAGUGGGGGAUCUUCGGACCUCUCGCUAUCAGAUGAGCCUAGGUCGGAUUAGCUAGUUGGUGGGGUAAAGGCCUACCAAGGCGACGAUCCGUAACUGGACUGAGAGGAUGAUCAGUCACACUGGAACUGAGACACGGUCCAGACUCCUACGGGAGGCAGCAGUGGGGAAUAUUGGACAAUGGGCGAAAGCCUGAUCCAGCCAUGCCGCGUGUGUGAAGAAGGUCUUCGGAUUGUAAAGCACGUUAAGUGGGGAGGAAGGGCAGUAAGUUAAUACCUUGCUGUUUUGACGUUACCAACAGAAUAAGCACCGGCUAACUUCGUG
rnacentral:rRNA from 1 species